GGCGUAAUAAUGGGCGUGGCAAAACAAUUUAACAAACUUGCACUGCGUAAGAAUAAUAAGUAUCUACAGUUUUAAUCCCAAUAUUCUAGUUCCUGCAGUUCCCGAGACCUCGACUUUAAUACGGACAGUCGACCAGACUUGUGUCUAAAGCAUCUAAAGCGUCUGCUAAAGCUUAAGCAACGGAGGAGCCAAUCCAUAUGAGGAGUCUUCCUUUUGUCGGCUCACUGCUUGCACAUCUAUUGGCCUACUGCUUGCACAUCUAUUGGUCUACUGCUUGCUACUGAGUUCUUCGAACUCUUCGCACUAACUUGAGGUUAUAUGUAUGUACAAUGAAACAUUGUGAAACAUGAAGUCUCCGUAAGGCUUGAGGACGCAAUAACAAUGGAGUUAUGCACAGAGCAAGGAAAUGCAUUUAAUCUGAGGGGAUACUCGUUUUUGCCUCGUAGAUGUGGGAUCCAAUACUGUUACCAUUAGCUGGGAAAAAACCUAUUGAACCUUUGUUUAAGGACGUGAUAUUGUAGCGGAGAAACCAUAUUACCUCUUAUUAAGAAAAGCUCUGGGCCCGCUGUGUUGACUGAUGAGCUUGACUUGGGCGGUCGUUAGUGGAAUGCUACAAUUUGGUGUGUCAAGAAAUUGCUUGAAGCUUAGAAAGUCGAUGGGAGCUGUGGGUGAGGAAGGUGUGGUGG